CUUUUCUUCAUUACAGGGCUCCUCUGAGAAUUCCAUUUCUAUAACACUUGUCAUUUACACCUCAGAAUCUCAGAAGAUGAAGACACACAUUAUCACUCUGUCUAUAAUACAUUUAAUACUGGACUAAACUCGUGUUCAUUACUGAGCAGAAUUCCUUCAAGAUGAGGACACAAAUUGUUAUCAUUCUGACUGUGUUACAUUUAAUACUGGGACAGCCGCAAAAUUACGAAAUUCAUCAAAGUCCUUCUGACCUGCUGGGUUUUCAGGGCGAAAACUCUGAACUUCAAUGCAAACACAGUGUUUCAUCACUUUAUAUGAUACUGUGGUAUCGACAAAGCCUUAAUGAUACUUCCAUGCAACUUAUUGCAUAUGUACGCUAUAAAAAUCCAAAUGUUGAAACUCCUUACUUAAGUCACUUUAACGUAUCUGGAGAUGGAGCAAAGCACUCUACACUCCAUCUCCUUAAACUGAGUGCAGCUGAACACACUGCUGUGUAUUACUGUGCAG